CGCAGCCCAGAUGGGACUCACUCAGCUGGCAAUCAGGAAUGACAGGACAGCAAGCUGACUCACUUGGAGAAGAAAGAGACAGAAGAUAGAUGUGGGAAUGUGCAGCAUGAUUGCAAUCCACUUAACAGUAUCUGCAAAGGUCAUCUCUCGGCCAAUGAGCUCACAGCUGAAGCCAGCAGCCAGCACCUACCCAGACCUACAGCUUGGAGCAAAGAUGUUCGAGAGAGUGUCUAGGAUGGUGUUGAUGGUGUGUUUGGCAAUCGUCAGACGAAGACCCUUCAUACUGCCGCUGAUGUCCACGACAAU